GAUGAACGCUGGCGGCGUGCCUAAUACAUGCAAGUCGAGCGAACGGACGAGAAGCUUGCUUUUCUGAUGUUAGCGGCGGACGGGUGAGUAACACGUGGAUAACCUACUUAUAAGACUGGGAUAACUUCGGGAAACAGGAUCUAAUACCGGAGAAUAUUUUGAACCGCUUGGUUCAAAAGUGAAAGACGGUUUUGCUGUCUCUUAUAGAUGGAUCCGCGCUGGAUUAGCUAGUUGGUAAGGUAACGGCUUACCAAGGCAACGAUGCAUAGCCGACAUGAGAGGGUGAUCGGCCACACUGGAACUGAGACACGGUCCAGACUCCUACGGGAGGCAGCAGUAGGGAAUCUUCCGCAAUGGGCGAAAGCCUGACGGAGCAACGCCGCGUGAGUGAUGAAGGUCUUCGGAUCGUAAAACUCUGUUAUUAGGGAAGAACAUAUGUGUAAGUAACUGUGCACAUCUUGACGGUACCUAAUCAAAAAGCCACGGCUAACUACGUG
rnacentral:rRNA from 1 species